GAUCCUGGCUUAGGAUGAACGCUAGCUACAGGCUUAACACAUGCAAGUCGAGGGGCAGCAUGAGAUUAGCUUGCUAAUCUGAUGGCGACCGGCGCACGGGUGAGUAACGCGUAUCCAACCUUCCCCUUACUCAGGGAUAGCCCGGUGAAAACCGGAUUAACACCUGAUAGUUUCACUAGAUGGCAUCUGACGGUGAAUAAAGCUUUGCGGUAAGGGAUGGGGAUGCGUCUGAUUAGCUUGUUGGCGGGUAACGGCCCACCAAGGCGACGAUCAGUAGGGGUUCUGAGAGGAAGGUCCCCCACAUUGGAACUGAGACACGGUCCAAACUCCUACGGGAGGCAGCAGUGAGGAAUAUUGGUCAAUGGGCGAGAGCCUGAACCAGCCAAGUAGCGUGCAGGAAGACGGCCCUAUGGGUUGUAAACUGCUUUUGUACGGGAAUAAAGUCAUCCACGUGUGGAUGUUUGCAUGUACCGUAAGAAUAAGGACCGGCUAAUUCCGUGCCAGCCGCAGC
rnacentral:rRNA from 1 species